UCAUCCCUACGGGACGCAGCAGUAGGGAAUCUUCCACAAUGGGCGAAAGCCUGAUGGAGCAACGCCGCGUGGGUGAAGAAGGUCUUCGGAUCGUAAAACCCUGUUGUUAGAGAAGAAAGUGCGUGAGAGUAACUGCUCACGUUUCGACGGUAUCUAACCAGAAAGCCACGGCUAACUACGUGCCAGCAGCCGCGGUAAUACGUAGGUGGCAAGCGUUAUCCGGAUUUAUUGGGCGUAAAGGGAACGCAGGCGGUCUUUUAAGUCUGAUGUGAAAGCCUUCGGCUUAACCGGAGUAGUGCCUUGGG
rnacentral:rRNA from 1 species